UGCCUACGGGGCGCAGCAGUGAGGAAUAUUGGUCAAUGGGCGGGAGCCUGAACCAGCCAAGUCGCGUGAGGGACGACGGUCCUAUGGAUUGUAAACCUCUUUUGUCGGGGAACAAAGGCGCCCACGGGUGGGCGGAUGAGUGUACCCGAAGAAAAAGCAUCGGCUAACUCCGUGCCAGCAGCCGCGGUAAUACGGAGGAUGCGAGCGUUAUCCGGAUUUAUUGGGUUUAAAGGGUGCGCAGGCGGAUUUUUAAGUCAGCGGUCAAAUCGUGGGGCUCAACCCCAUCCAGCCGUUGAAACUGGGGA
rnacentral:rRNA from 1 species